rnacentral:lncRNA from 10 species
CAUUGGAAACGGGAAUAUCUUCAUAUAAAAUCUAGACAGAGGCAUUCUCAGAAACUUCUUUGUGAUGUGUGUCCUCAACUAACGGCGGUACAUCCUGUCUUUUGAUACAGCAGUUUGGAAACACUCUUUUUGUAGAAUCUGCCAGUGGAUAUUUGCAUAGCUCUAAUGAUUUCUUUGGAAACGGGAAUACCUUCAUAUAAAAUCUAGACAGAGGCACUCUCAGAAACUGCUUUGUGAUAUCUGCAUUCAAGUCACACAGUUCAACAUUCCCUUUCUUAGAGCAGGUUUGAAACACUCUUUUUGCAGGAUCUGGAAGUGGACAUUUGGAGCGCUUUGACGCCUUUGGUGAUAAAGGAAAUGUCUUCACAUAAAAACUAGAAAGAAGCAUUCUAAGAAACAUCUUUGUGAUAUAUGUACUCAACUAACCGAGUUGAACCUUGCUCUUUAUAGAUCAGCUUUUUAAUGCUCUUUUUGUGGAAUCUGCAAGUGGAUAUUUGGAUAGCUUUCAGGAUUUCGUUGGAAACGGGAUUACAAACAAAAUGUAGACAGCAGCAUUCUCAGAAACUUCUUUGUGAUGUUUGCUUUUAAGUCACAGAGUUGAACAUUCCCUUUCGUAGAGCAGGUUUCAGACACUCUUUCUGUAGUAUCUGGAAGUGGACAUUUCGAGUGUUUUCAGGCCUAUGGUGAACAAGGAAAUAUCUUCCCAUAAAAACCAGACACAAGCAUUUGCAGAAACUUGUUUGUGAUGCGUGUCCUCAACUCACAGAAUAGAACAUUUCGUUUGACAGAGCAGCUUGGAAACACGCUUUUUGUAGAAUCUGCAAUUGGAUAUUUGGAUAGCUUUGUGGAUUUCUUUGGAAACGGGAGUAUCUUCAUAUAAAACCUAGACGGAAACAUUCUCAGAAACUCCUUUGUAAUGUCUGCAUUCACGUCACAGAUUUGAACAUUCCCUUUCAUAGAGCAGGUUUGAAACACUCUUUCCGAAGUAUCUGGAUGUGGACACUUGGAGCGCUUUGACGCUUACGGUGAAAAGGAAAUAACUUCCCAUGAAAACUAGACAGAAGCAUUCUCACAAACUGGUGUGUGAUGUAUGUCCUCAGCUAACAGAGUUAAACCUUUCUAUUUACAGAGCAGUUUUCAAAGACUCUUUUUGGAGAAUCUGCAAGUGGAUAUCUGGAGAUCUUUAAGGAUUUCAUUGGAAACCGGAAUAUCUUCAGAGCACUUUUGAAAGACUCUUUUUGGAGAAUCUGCAAGUGGAUAUUUGGAGAGCUUUAAGGAUUUCAUUGGAAACGGGAAUAUCUUCAUAUAAAAUCUAGACAGAGGCAUUCUCAGAAACUUCUUUGUGAUGUGUGUCCUCAACCAACGGAGUACAUCCUGUCUUUUGAUACAGCAGUUUGGAAACACUCUUUUUGUAGAAUCUGCAAGUGGAUAUUUGGAUAGCUCUAACGAUUUCGUUGGAAACGGGAAUAUCUUCAUAAAAAAUCUAGACAGAAGCACUCUCAGAAACUACUUUGUGAUAUCGGCAUUCAAGUCACAGAGUUGAACAUUCCCUUUCAUGGAGCAGGUUUGAAACACUCUUUUUGUAGUAUCUGGAAGUGGACCUUUGGAGCCCUUUAAUGAUUUUGGUGAAAAAGGAAAUAUCUUCCCAUAAAAACGAGACAGAAGCAUUCUCA